CGACGGGUAGCCGGCCUGAGAGGGCGACCGGCCACAUUGGGACUGAGAUACGGCCCAGACUCCUACGGGAGGCAGCAGUGGGGAAUAUUGCACAAUGGGCGCAAGCCUGAUGCAGCGACGCCGCGUGAGGGAUGGAGGCCUUCGGGUUGUAAACCUCUUUUGUUAGGGAGCAAGGCACUUUGUGUUGAGUGUACCUUUCGAAUAAGCACCGGCUAACUACGUGCCAGCAGCCGCGGUAAUACGUAGGGUGCAAGCGUUAUCCGGAAUUAUUGGGCGUAAAGGGCUCGUAGGCGGUUCGUCGCGUCCGGUGUGAAAGUCCAUCGCUUAACGGUGGAUCCGCGCCGGGUACGGGCGGGCUUGAGUGCGGUAGGGGAGACUGGAAUUCCCGGUGUAACGGUGGAAUGUGUAGAUAUCGGGAAGAACACCAAUGGCGAAGGCAGGUCUCUGGGCCGUUACUGACGCUGAGGAGCGAAAGCGUGGGGAGCGAACAGGAUUAGAUACCCUGGUAGUCCACGCCGUAAACGGUGGAUGCUGGAUGUGGGGCCCGUUCCACGGGUUCCGUGUCGGAGCUAACGCGUUAAGCAUCCCGCCUGGGGAGUACGGCCGCAAGGCUAAAACUCAAAGAAAUUGACGGGGGCCCGCACAAGCGGCGGAGCAUGCGGAUUAAUUCGAUGCAACGCGAAGAACCUUACCUGGGCUUGACAUGUUCCCGACGAUCCCAGAGAUGGGGUUUCCCUUCGGGGCGGGUUCACAGGUGGUGCAUGGUCGUCGUCAGCUCGUGUCGUGAGAUGUUGGGUUAAGUCCCGCAACGAGCGCAACCCUCGCCCCGUGUUGCCAGCGGAUUGUGCCGGGAACUCACGGGGGACCGCCGGGGUUAACUCGGAGGAAGGUGGGGAUGACGUCAGAUCAUCAUGCCCCUUACGUCCAGGGCUUCACGCAUGCUACAAUGGCCGGUACAACGGGAUGCGACAGUGCGAGCUGGAGCGGAUCCCUGAAAACCGGUCUCAGUUCGGAUCGCAGUCUGCAACUCGACUGCGUGAAGGCGGAGUCGCUAGUAAUCGCGAAUCAGCAACGUCGCGGUGAAUGCGUUCCCGGGCCUUGUACACACCGCCCGUCAAGUCAUGAAAGUGGGCAGCACCCGAAGCCGGUGGCCUAACCCCUUGCGGGAGGGAGCCGUCUAAGGUGAGGCUCGUGAUUGGGACUAAGUCGUAACAAGGUAGCCGUACCGGAAGGUGCGGCUG
rnacentral:rRNA from 1 species